AGGGACUUUAUUUGCUGAAUCUUCUACCGUCAUCAACUUUUUCUACUUCUUCAUGGAAAAGUAGUUCAUAAAUAAGAAGUAGGGAAGACCAUGCAUUAUACUACAGAGAUACAAAGGUUUUUAUAUAUUGAAGAAAAGGCAGAUAUAAGCACACUGACAAGUAAGCCUUUGGAUGGAGUGGUGAGGCCAGGAGCACCACGGGCUACUUCUCGAGAAGCAGGUGCAGUCUCCGAGUGAGCCUCUCCCCUCAUGACCUGUGCAGAUUAUGCCAUCAAUAGUGGGAGAGGGGAUGAGGACGAACAUUUGGAGCCCUCAGCACACAGCUCCAAGGGGCCUGGUGAAGCCUUGCAGCAAUGAGGGUGCACUAGAA